ensembl:lncRNA proteoglycan 4-like
CAGGAGCAGCGCCUCCAUCUCUCUGACACACAGCACAGUGUUUCUUAAGGAGAACAUCACUUUCUGGACUCGCAGAGGUAAGAUUUGACGGAGUUCUGAAGACUUCUGUGAAAAAUUAGGUAAAAGAUGUGAAAUAUAAUGAACAUUUGUCUUUGUUUGAAUCAGAAUCAAAGUGGAAAAAAUAUGGGGAACGAGCAUUCAAAGAGCAAAGAGCCAAACAAGAAUGAGCAGAUCCCUGAGAAGCAUGGAAACGGCCAGGUGAACGGCAUCUCUGCACACACCACACUCAACGGGUUUGAUGAGCGGAAGAUGGACGUGAAAACUGAAACCACCGUCCAACAAAACGGCGAGCCUCAUUCUUUGGUCAUUAUGACUGAAUCCACUGAUUUUGUGGUCAUCAAAUCAGACUGUCUGACCGCUACUGUUAGUUCUGAAGUCCCUAAGGACACCGCCGCCAUCACCUCCAACACCUCCAACACCAGCAGUCCCAUCAGCACCACCGCCAACAGCCCCAGCAUCCCCAUCAAGAAGGCGGAGGCCAAGAAGAGCAAAGAAGAAAAAACACAUCUCUUUGGCAAAGUGUUCAAAAAGAAAGCAGAAGCUAAAGCUGACGUGAAGAACGUGGAAGAGAAAGAGAAAGAAGAAGAGAGAAGUGAAGAUCAGGCAGAUGUAAGUCUUCCUCCCUCUGACCCACCACAGGAGACAGCUAACCCAAAGAAUCAGGAAUCUGAAGAAUCGUUAGCGGAGCCAGAAAGCGCGACUCCAGAGUCCUCCAGGACAGAGGAAGACAAAGUUCCUGAAACUGAGAGUGGAGACUGUCAGCCUGCGGAAGACAGGAGCGAAGAGAAUCCAGUUAUGAACUUCUUCAAAACCCUGGUGACUACCACAAAAACAUCCAAAAAGGAAACUCCCGAUGCCACGAAAGAUCAGCCCCUGAAGGAGGCCCAGCCUGCAGCAGCCACGAGCCCUGCUGCACCAGCCUUCGAACCUCCUGCAGCUCCUAAAGGAAUGUCCGUCCCACCGCCGCCUCCUCCAGAGCCUCCCAAACUGGAAACCAAAGCAGAAGCAGCUGCCAAGCCCGUGAAGCCGGCACCGAAAGAGGAACCCAAAGCUGCUGCAAAGGAAGCCGAGUCCUCCAAAGGAAAGUCAGCCAAAGAUGCUCUGAGCAAACUCUUCCGCCCAAAGAAGGUGGAUCCCUCAAAGUCUGGCACACUGGAGGCUGCUGCAAAACCAGAACCACCGCCACCUGUUCAGGAAGAGAAGAAGCCAGCCACGAAAUCCUCCUUCCUUUCCAUCUUCAAGCCCAAAGUAUUGUUAGAUCACAUGACCACAAAAGUCCAAGCAGCCUCCACAAGUGGAGUUCGGCUCCUCAGGAAAACUACUGGACUGGCUGCUGAGGCCAAGAAGGCGACCCCGGCUCCACCCGCAGCAGCAGCCGCCGCAGCAGCAGCAGAGGCCGCUCCAGCGGUGAAAGCCAAAGAGGAGACCAAAGCUGCAGCCAAAUCCACAGAGGUGGCGGCAGACAGCAAACCAGCGGCGGCGGCUUCCCAAGCUGCAGACGACGCAGCCAACCUGCCCAAACGGCUGGAGAAGAGGAACUCCAUCCAGCUGUUCUUCAAAAAUCUGGGUCAGAAGCGCCACUCCACAGACGCCGGUGUCCAGACAGAGCCGGCGAUCGCAGCUGCUGCAGCUGAGAAAGCCAAAUGAAAGCGACCCUCUCUGUACAGACAAGCCCCUCUGUCCUCCGUCUUCCUCUUACUCAAUCUUUAUGUCUCUCAUCACUUUAACUACAGUUGUUGUGUUUAGACGUUUAAAAGAAAAGCUCGCUGGAUGGAGGAAGGAACUGAGAGACAGGUCUGAAGCCUUCUUCGAUGGCCUGUUGUAUAUUUUUGUCCAAGCACAGUGAAAUUAGACUUUUCUGGGGACUUCUCUCUGUUUUUGCUAACUAACACGUAUGCACUAUAUAAGCAGCUUUGCUUUUUGGAUUUAAAGUGUCACUGGCUGUUUUUCAGUUCAUAGCAGAGGUUUUGUGCAGUUGUGGCAACGCAGGAGCUAAAAUGAACAUUGUACUUAAUCAACAGCUGACAGGAGCAUGUUUAUAGAGCAGAAAGCACUGACAGACCUAACUCUAUGUAAUAUAGAAACACAGACUGUAUGGGAAAUCACAAUCUUACUGUUCUGAGGGGAACUGAUUGUAAAUAUUCAUGUUAACACACACGUCCGAGGCGUCGCUGUGCACAUGUGUCCGUGUGGUUCACUGUGUCAUUUAACUGAAGUUGGUCUCAUGCUGUCAGUCGGUCCUGUUUUUAGCAUAUGUGCAAUUAAUGCUUUUGCGUGCCUAUGUGUAUGCGUGUAUGUGUAACUUCAGCUACCUAAAAGGC